GAGAGUUUGAUUCUGGCUCAGGACGAACGCUGGCGGCGUGCCUAAUACAUGCAAGUCGAGCGAGCGGAACCAACAGAUUUACUUCGGUAAUGACGUUGGGAAAGCGAGCGGCGGAUGGGUGAGUAACACGUGGGGAACCUGCCCCUAAGUCUGGGAUACCAUUUGGAAACAGGUGCUAAUACCGGAUAAUAAAGCAGAUCGCAUGAUCAGCUUUUGAAAGGCGGCGUAAGCUGUCGCUAAGGGAUGGCCCCGCGGUGCAUUAGCUAGUUGGUAAGGUAACGGCUUACCAAGGCGACGAUGCAUAGCCGAGUUGAGAGACUGAUCGGCCACAUUGGGACUGAGACACGGCCCAAACUCCUACGGGAGGCAGCAGUAGGGAAUCUUCCACAAUGGACGCAAGUCUGAUGGAGCAACGCCGCGUGAGUGAAGAAGGUUUUCGGAUCGUAAAGCUCUGUUGUUGGUGAAGAAGGAUAGCAGUAGUAACUGGCCUUUAUUUGACGGUAAUCAACCAGAAAUCACGCUUAUA
rnacentral:rRNA from 1 species